UUUUGGCUGCACACCUCCUUCUAGAUGCAGAAAUCCAUAGAGUGUUCCUGGCCGACUGUGGGUCACCCAUUUGUCAAAGCUCCAAACGCCCAUGAGUGCAUCCCUGGACCAUUCUAUGGCGUCUACUAAGUAACUAGGCGAAUUCAUGGUCAAUGCUGUUUCCUGAUGGUAUCACUUAUACAAUAUAACUCGGGAGGGCUAAAGAUGAUUAUUUUUUCCAUUAUAUAGUGGGACAUGAAACGGUUUACCAAGGCAUGGAUGUAUAUGGGUCCUGAGAGGGAGAUCCCCCACACUGGUACUGAGACACGGACCAGACUCCUACGGGAGGCAGCAGUGAGGAAUAUUGGACAAUGGAGGCAACUCUGAUCCAGCCAUGCCGCGUGCAGGAAGACUGCCCUAUGGGUUGUAAACUGCUUUUACAGAGGAAGAACCGCACCCACGUGUGGGUGUUUGACGGUACUCUGCGAAUAAGGAUCGGCUAACUCCGUGCCAGCAGCCGCGGUAAUACGGAGGAUCCAAGCGUUAUCCGGAAUCAUUGGGUUUAAAGGGUCCGUAGGCGGACAAUAAGUCAGUGGUGAAAGUCUGCACUCAACUGUAGAACUGCAUUGAAACUGUAGUCCUUGAGUAUUAUGAAGUGGUUAGAAUGAGAAGUGUACGGUGAAAUGCAUAGAUUUACA
rnacentral:rRNA from 1 species